CUGCAGUCAAUGCGUAACCUGGUCUGGGAACGGGGGCCAGUCCAAGCCAGUGGGGGAACAAUGGCCCCUCAGUUCAAGUCCAACAAAAGACCUGUCGGACUUGUUUGAAUUUCAGAGCACGUCCUUUCUCACACAGAGGGAUGGACUAUACCCUGGCCAGAAGCAGCAGCCCCCCCACCCCACACCAACCAAUGAAAAAAAAGGGAGAAAAAAAAACAUGCCGACUCUCUCAGCCCAACAGUGCACUUUUCCAUUUUGGGCCGUGGACAAAUAGGUUAUGGGAAACUUCUCUCCCUCCCUCCCUACCUCCUCUUCACUCUCUCCGGCUCUCCACUCUCCCCACUUCUCUCUUGCACUUGGAAUAAGCCUCGGCUUACAGCAGUGCAACUGAGGCUCGCGUAAUGAACUAAGUAUAAGCGGCAAUUUUAAACGAAGUGGUGUCUAAACAGCACUGCGUACGGGAGCUUGUUUCCAUCCGGGAUGAAUAAAGACCAACGGGUUUAUCCUGGAAAAUAAGCAACUCAGAAACAUGCACACCUCCCCCUGUCUGUCUCUGAGGUCACAAACUCAGUCCAUCCAGCCAACAUGACAACAUUACAAUCUAAUGCUGAAACCCUGGUGUUGCUAGAUACAGGGAAACUAUGGAGAGAAUUCAAAGACCUCCUUGAAAUCCAGCCUUUAUAGAGAAAACCUACACAAGGGGCGAGAUGAGAGGCAGCUCUUCUGAAGAGGUGAAGAUGGACAGCAAUCAGCGGAGGUCAAAGAUGUCUGUACCAUACCUCUUCGACAUUGGGUGGAACUAUGGGAAAACUCUGGACAUAGCAGUCUUCUUCCACAGCGCAAUAAAAGGAAAAUCCUGUUAUGGACAAGCUAAAGCUAAAAAUGACAGUUUAAUGAAGACUUGACUGUUUUUGUCAUGGCAACUGAUGCUUAAUAAGAGUACUGCCGGUUCCCCAAGACAAUUUCCUGCAAAUGUGAAAGGAAUGUUGGGAAAUGCUGAGAAUAUCUUCACCUUGCCACAAGUUGCCUCAGGGACCAGUACCACAGUGGCUGCACAGUUUUGUUUUAUGGAUCCCACAUAUCUUUGACAAUGUGGAAACAGGAUUAUAAAAAUACUACGCAAUCUAAAGCACUAUGAAACUACAACAUUCAUCAUCGAAUGUGUGCACUUUGAAAGUUACAUUUCCAUUCUGUGUUCUGUAUUGGAAAUUGUUGCUGUGUUUUUAUUUUACUUUGAAGAUUUGUCUUUAUUUUUCUAAUAAAUGAUAUGUUGUAUAAAACAGAAGAGAUCCUGCCUUUGUCUUGCUUUGAUUACCUCCGAGUGGAUUGUUGAAUAUUUAAUGCUGAGGUAUUAAAAUGAUCAGUCUAAGAAUCAUGGGGAUGAGAUGGCUCCUCUGGUGCUGUUUCAGAAGACUGAUGUGCUGUGAGCUGUCACCCGCUUGUCCAAAUGGAACAAAUGAUGUUCUGGGG
ensembl:lncRNA